GGAUGAGCCCGCGGCCUAUCAGCUUGUUGGUGAGGUAGUGGCUCACCAAGGCGACGACGGGUAGCCGGCCUGAGAGGGCGACCGGCCACACUGGGACUGAGACACGGCCCAGACUCCUACGGGAGGCAGCAGUGGGGAAUAUUGCACAAUGGGCGAAAGCCUGAUGCAGCGACGCCGCGUGAGGGAUGACGGCCUUCGGGUUGUAAACCUCUUUCAGCAGGGAAGAAGCGAGAGUGACGGUACCUGCAGAAGAAGCGCCGGCUAACUACGUGCCAGCAGCCGCGG
rnacentral:rRNA from 1 species